CUUCCAGCCCAGAAACGUUGCUAUGGUAACCGUGAUCCUCUCUGGGCUUUGAACCGGAAUAGCCGGUAGGGCACCGGUACCCGAGGAGCGGACAGCACAGCGGGUCAGAGGCUGACGGUGCUCUCCUGAUUCCUCUCCGUUUCCUGGAAGGAGCUGAGAGGACUGGCUUGCUUUCAGGGGAGAUGAUCCAUCCCUGACAUGAGGAAGUCUGAAGCAGAGUUCCUUGGUGCCAAAGCAGAGAAGAAGGGGGCAGGAGCAUCCAGGAUAUAAACUGGAACGAAUGGGCUGUGGCACGUAAAGCACAGGGCAUUUUAUUAAGAUGAAGAGAGAAGAAUAUUGUGAGGUUGGCUGAUCCCCCGUGACAUUCCAGAGAGAGGACAUUCAUGAGGAGGGGAAGCAAACAAGACUAGAAGCAGCUGGAAGGAAAGCAUCCUCUGUGUUUAAAGAAAGGAUAUGCGGAGAGAAAGGUGAAUUUCUCAGCCUCAGAGGAUCCAAGCCCAGACAUGUUUAACGGCCAAGAUUUCACCGAAGGCUUAAAAGCCCAAAUUCUCUGUCAGUACCUUCUCCUUCUGGAGUCAAGAGGAUCAGGAAUGGAAAGCCCAGCUUUAAAGAGGCCCUGUCAAGAGGAAGAAAUAUAUAUAUAUAUGUUCCUUAAGGAUCAUCAUAUCAAAUGCUGCCUUAGAUGAGCCUUGUGUCAAUCAUCUGGGGAUCAAAUCUUCAGUGGACAGACAGCUUGUUAAAAAUACACUCUUCUGCGGUUCACUCCU